GAUGAACGCUAGCGGCAGGCCUAACACAUGCAAGUCGAGGGGCAGCACAGAAACAGCAAUGUUUUGGUGGCGACCGGCGGACGGGUGCGUAACGCGUAUGCAACCUACCUUUAACAGGGGGAUAACGGAGAGAAAUUUCCACUAAUACCCCAUAACAUCGAUCAAGGCAUCUUGAUUGGUUGAAAACUCCGGUGGUUAAAGAUGGGCAUGCGUUGUAUUAGGUAGUUGGUGAGGUAAUGGCUCACCAAGCCUACGAUACAGAGGGGGACUGAGAGGUUAGCCCCCCACCAUGGUACUGAGACACGGAACAGAAUCCUACGGGAGGCAGCAGUGAGAAAUAUUGUUCAAUGGGGGCAACCAUGAACCAGCCAUGCCGCGUGCAGGAAGACGGCUCUAUGAGUUGUAAACUGCUUUUAAACAGGGAUAAAGCACAGUAUGUAUACUGUGUUGAAGGUACUGUAAGAAUAAGGAUCGGCUAACUCCGUGCCAGCCGCCGCAGUAA
rnacentral:rRNA from 1 species